rnacentral:rRNA from 1 species
UACGGGGGGGGCAAGCGUUGUUCGGAAUUACUGGGCGUAAAGCGCACGUAGGCGGAUCGAUCAGUCGGGGGUGAAAUCCCAGGGCUCAACCCUGGAACUGCCUUUGAUACUGUCGAUCUGGAGUAUGGAAGAGGUGAGUGGAAUUCCGAGUGUAGAGGUGAAAUUCGUAGAUAUUCGGAGGAACACCAGUGGCGAAGGCGGCUCACUGGUCCAUUACUGACGCUGAGGUGCGAAAGCGUGGGGAGCAAACAGG